UACGUAGGGGGCAAGCGUUGUCCGGAAUCAUUGGGCGUAAAGAGCGUGUAGGCGGCCUGGUAAGUCCGCUGUGAAAGUCCAGGGCUCAACCCUGGAAUGCCGGUGGAAACUGUCAGGCUCGAGUCCGGAAGAGGCGAGUGGAAUUCCUGGUGUAGCGGUGAAAUGCGCAGAUAUCAGGAGGAACACCAAUGGCGAAGGCAGCUCGCUGGGACGGUACUGACGCUGAGACGCGAAAGCGUGGGGAUCAAACAGG
rnacentral:rRNA from 1 species